rnacentral:rRNA from 1 species
AUUGAACGCUGGCGGCAGGCCUAACACAUGCAAGUCGAGCGAGCGGCGGACGGGUGAGUAAUGUCUGGGAAACUGCCUGAUGGAGGGGGAUAACUACUGGAAACGGUAGCUAAUACCGCAUACCAUCAGAUGUGCCCAGAUGGGAUUAGCUGGUAGGUGGGGUAACGGCUCACCUAGGCGACGAUCCCUAGCUGGUCUGAGAGGAUGACCAGCCCAACUGGAACUGAGACAGGGCCCAGCCUCCUACGGGAGGCAGCAGUGGGGAAUUUUGCACAAUGGGCGCAAGCCGGAUGAAGCCAUGCCGCGUGUAUGAAGAAGGCCUUCGGGUUGUAAAGUACUUUCAGCGGGGAGGCGUUACCCGCAGAAGAAGCACCGGCUAACUCCGUGCCAGCAGCCGCGGUAAUUC